GACUCGAUAGCGGAUGGUCCGCGCUUGCUUUCAUUGCGUACUUGACUACGGAGUUUAAGUGGGUGUUCCUGGUUCGAUUCCGGGUCGAGUCC